rnacentral:rRNA from 1 species
AACGUAGGACGCGAGCGUUAUCCGGAGUUACUGGGCGUAAAGCGCACGUAGGCGGAUCGAUCAGUCAGGGGUGAAAUCCCAGGGCUCAACCCUGGAACUGCCUUUGAUACUGUCGAUCUGGAGUAUGGAAGAGGCGAGUGGAAUUCCGAGUGUAGAGGUGAAAUUCGUAGAUAUUCGGAGGAACACCAGUGGCGAAGGCGGCUCACUGGUCCAUUACUGACGCUGAGGUGCGAAAGCGUGGGGAGCAAACAGG